rnacentral:rRNA from 1 species
AACGAACGCUGGCGGCAUGCCUAACACAUGCAAGUCGAACGAGACCUUCGGGUCUAGUGGCGCACGGGUGCGUAACGCGUGGGAACCUGCCCUUAGGUUCGGAAUAACUCCCCGAAAGGGGUGCUAAUACCGGAUAAUGUCUUCCGACCAAAGAUUUAUCGCCUUUGGAUGGGCCUGCGUUGGAUUAGCUAGUUGGUAGGGUAAAAGCCUACCAAGGCGACGAUCCAUAGCUGGUCUGAGAGGAUGAUCAACCACACUGGGACUGAGACACGGCCCAGACUCCUACGGGAGGCAGCAGUGGGGAAUAUUGGACAAUGGGCGAAAGCCUGAUCCAGCAAUGCCGCGUGAGUGAUGAAGGCCUUAGGGUUGUAAAGCUCUUUUACCCGGGAUGAUAAUGACAGUACCGGGAGAAUAAGCUCCGGCUAACUCCGUG